rnacentral:tRNA from 1 species
UUUUUAGUAGUAUAAUCAUUACACUUACCUUCCAAGUAAAAAAUCUUUUAAAAAGC